GCGCGGGGCGGAGAGGGGGGGAGAUGGCGGCGGCCCGCCCUUGGCAAGGGUCGUGCAGGCGGCCGGGCUUCGGAGGGGGGGUGUGCGUGCCCCCGAGCGGCCGGCCUGCCGGCGGUCGGAGCCGGAACGUGUGUUUCCAAACCAAGGAAGAGCUGCUUUGGGAGAAGGCUGUGCGAGGGUACCGCGGUGCGGUGCUGGUAACGGCUGCCUUCAGGAUUUUGUGUGCUAGUUGGGGGAAGGAGUUAAGUCCUUCGCUGUUCCUCCUUUUCCCCACGAUGGAGUCUUUUCUGACCAAAGAACACUUCACUGAAUGCUUCUGUAGAGUUCGUCUGAUUCCAGAAACCACAGCACAUGAUGGCAAAAAUAUUGUGCAGGUGCCUUUACCUUGUAUAGAAAAUGUAACAUUGAUCCAUAGAAGAUUGACAAGGUGUUAGCAGUUCUUCAUCCAGUGCAAGGAAGACGGGAUGUAGUGGACUCUGCACUUGAAUCAUUAAAAAGAAUCACAAAAUGGAUUGGAAGGGACCUCUGAAGAUCAUGUAGUCCACACCCCCAUACUGAGCAGGGUCACCUAGAGCACAUUGCACAGGAUGGCAUCCAGUUCUAGGGUUUUUAUAUUCAAGAUGCGAUGAAGUCUACUUUAAUCAAUGUGAUCUUUUCAUUAAGUCAAUUUGACUGCAUUGAAAUGGGGACUCUCACUUUGGAAUACCUCUGCUAUGUUUCAUCAUCGCUUUGGUGGAUGUUUUAAUAAAUGAGACCCAGGUAUGUGUACCAAGAAAGGGAAGAAGAUAAUAAAAUUAGGAGUUCUGCUGUGAAAAUCCUUGCACUCAAAGGAAAAGGAGUGAGAACAAUCAAUCAGAGGAGUGACUUCCCCAGGGAUGUGAUAGAAUCCCCAUCACCAGAGGCUUUCAAGACAAGACUGGACAGGGUGCAGGAUAAUAUCAUCUAAGUUCCCAUUUAGCCUGAAAGACUUUGAAAUAAUCACUGUGGUGGGACAGGAAGCAGAAACAAACAUGAAACUGGAGGCAGGGACCUUGAUCAUCGAAGACUUUGAGCAGACCCAUUUCAGACAUGGGAAAGGAUUGCUGAAGACUACUUUGCUACAAAGGAGAAGUCUAAACUCUUUGUUUUGACACCAACAGGGAAAAACUGUGGAAAACGUAGUUCUUACCUUCACAUAUGUACUUCUGUAACUGGAGCUGGUUACCCUAAUAAUGAGUGAGCACUUCAGCGAGGCUGAGACUGAGAAGUUUGCUGUUAGUCCUGAAGAUUUCAGACUGUGAGCAAUUACGUGAUUGUAAAAUCUCUGCUGCAGGAACUUGAGCAAUGAAAAACAGUGGAUUAGACACAGAUGCAGAAGAUUACCGUUCUACCUGUUCAGAUUCAGGUUGUGUGGAAAAGAGAAGGAAAAUGAAUAGGUUAGCUAUCCAAAAAAAUGAACUGAAAAACUGAACACUACUUGAAUCAGAUGCACAAGGACAGCAUGAAACAGAGGAUCUUCGUUUUAGAAGAAUAACCUCUUCAGAAGCUCUCUGAAAUUGUCUGUCUACUCUAACCAGUUGCAUCAUGAAGACACAAAUUUCAAAGGCUGUCCCCAAGUUCAAGGAGGAUUAACUAAAAGCAAGGCCUCAUAGGGACACUUUUAAGGAGAUGCUAAUACAUGCAGUGUUUGGACUCCCAGGAGAACACUCUUUAGUUACUUAAAUGGCAUAAUACGUUGUUUUUUUUAAGGGGGAAGGCUUAGAUCAAAUUUUGGUUGUGAAGUGCUAUGCACAGCAUUUGAUACUGCGGGCAUUCUAAGACAGGUAACUUGUGCCCUUACGUAUUUGUUCCAGUGGCAACAUAUGUGCAUGCUCAGUGACUGCUUUUCUUUUGCCUUCACAGGGAUCACUAUAGGCAAACCAAUAAAGAUAACUGGAUCUGAAACACACAUAGUAUGUCUGAGAGUGACAGGACCACUGUGUCUGUCUGUAUUACCUUAUCAUUGCAACAACCUUCAAAUGCUUUGUACUGCAGUCAGGAUAAAGAGUGGUCAUGAAAAGAAGAGAGCAUUGCCUUGAAAUCUGUCACCUUACUUUUGAGUCCCUUGUCAUUUUCAGUUGCUUAUUUUGCUUCAUGCUGUUUGUCUUGAGGAAAAUCUGUAGACUGGUAUCCCUUGGGGAGUUGACUUAGGCUUUACUCAGUCUGGCGUAACAGGAAUUUAUACAGACUGCACUUCAGACUGAGAAGAGCCAUAGCAACAGCCUGUGAGAAAAGCUUGGCUGUUGACCCUUGCUGUGUAUUCCACUGUGGUGAAAGAAAAAUCAGAAUUGAGAGAAGAUAGGUGAAGUUCGUAAUGGAAAAGCCUUGUUACAUAAGGGCUGUUCCCUGUGACAUCUCUUUGUAAGUAUGUCUGUAAGUACGCUAUAGCACAGUCUCCAUUUCAAAUAACUUACCUUAAACCACAUCAAAACAGGGCUAUCUGUGGCCGAAGCUCAUUUAAGGGAGAAUGGGACUGCUAUGUGGCUUGCGUGCUUCUCUGCCAUGAGUGGAAGGGAUCAGUGGUGUUGUGAUUCUAAACAUAUGUGAUGUCAAAGUAAACAGACUACAGAGCUUUCUGAAGACUAAGGAUUGGGUAAGAAGGGCAUGUUCUCAGCACCUGUGACGGCCAGGUGACACCAGAAAUGACUGCUUCAACUAGCUUUGGAGAGGUGGACAGUUUUCUAUGUGAGUUACUGUGACUGGAAACUGAAAAAUCAGC